rnacentral:rRNA from 1 species
UCAGGCCUAACACAUGCAAGUCGAACGCAGUAGCAAUACUGAGUGGCAAACGGGUGAGUAUAAUGUGGGAAUCUGCCUUUUGGUUUGGAAUAACACGGGGAAACUUGUGCUAAUACCAAAUAAGCCUUUACAGGGAAAGUUUUAACGCCGAAAGAUGAGCCUGCACUUGAUUAGCUAGUUGGUAAGGUAAAAGCUUACCAAGGCAACGAUCAAUAGCUGUUCUUAGAGGAAGACCAGCCACAUUGGGACUGAGACACGGCCCAGACUCCUACGGGAGGCAGCAGUGGGGAAUCUUGCACAAUGGGGGAAACCCUGAUGCAGCGAUGCCGCGUGAGUGAAGAAGGCCCUUGGGUUGUAAAACUCUUUCGUCGGGGAAGAAAAUGACUGUACCCGAAUAAGAAGGUCCGGCUAACUUCGUGCCAGCAGCCGCGGUAAUACGAAGGGACCUAGCGUAGUUCGGAAUUACUGGGCUUAAAGAGCUCGUAGGUGGUUAAAAAAGUUGAUGGUGAAAUCCCAAGGCUCAACCUUGGAACUGCCAUCAAAACUUUUUAGCUAGAGUGUGAUAGAGGUAAGUGGAAUUUCUAGUGUAGAGGUGAAAUUCGUAGAUAUUAGAAAGAACACCAAAUGCGGAGGCAACUUACUGGGUCACUACUGACACUGAGGAGCGAAAGCAUGGGUAGCGAAGAGGAUUAGAUACCCU